rnacentral:rRNA from 1 species
UGGGGAAUAUUGCGCAAUGGGCGAAAGCCUGACGCAGCGACGCCACGUGAGUGACGACGUCUUUCGGGAUGUAAAGCUCUGUCAAGAGGGACGAUUAUGACUGUACCUCUAAAGGAAGCCCCGGCUAACUACGUGCCAGCAGCCGCGGUAAUACGUAGGGGGCGAGCGUUAUCCGGAUUCAUUGGGCAUAAAGAGUACGUAGGCGGUAUUUUAAGUCAUGUGUUAAAUACAUCAGCUCAACUGAUGCACGCGCCUGAAACUGAAAUACUAAAGACUAGUAAAGGAAAGCGGAACUCACGGUGUAGCGGUGAAAUGCGUAGAUAUCGUGAGGAACACCAGUUGCGAAGGCGGCUUUCUAGACUAAUUCUGACGCUGAGGUGCGAAAGCAUGGGUAGCGAAGAGG